rnacentral:rRNA from 1 species
GGCUCAGGACGAACGCUGGCGGCGUGCCUAAUACAUGCAAGUCGAACGGUCUUUCUAUGGAAGCUUGCUUCCACUGAGAAGAUAGUGGCGAACGGGUGAGUAACACGUGGGUAACCUGCCCAUAAGAGGGGGGAUAACAUCCGGAAACGGGUGUUAAUACCGCAUAGUUUUCUUGACCGCAUGAUUGAGAAAGGAAAGACGGCCUUUGUGCUGUCGCUUAUGGAUGGACCCGCGGCGUAUUAGUUAGUUGGUGAGGUAACGGCUCACCAAGACGAUGAUACGUAGCCGACCUGAGAGGGUGAUCGGCCACAUUGGGACUGAGACACGGCCCAAACUCCUACGGGAGGCAGCAGUAGGGAAUCUUCCGCAAUGGACGAAAGUCUGACGGAGCAACGCCGCGUGAGUGAAAGAAGGUUUUCGGAUCGUAAAACUCUGUUGUCAGAGAAGAACAAGUUGGAGAGUAACUGCUCCAGCCUUGACGGUAUCUGACCAGAAAGCCACGGCUAACUACGUGCCAGCCGCCGC